UACAGAGGGGGCAAGCGUUAUUCGGAAUUAUUGGGCGUAAAGGGCGCGUAGGCGGCUUGGCAAGUGGAAGGUGAAAUCCCUCGGCUUAACCGAGGAACUGCCCUCCAAACUGCUUUGCUUGAGUCCGGGAGAGGCGAGUGGAAUUCCCAGUGUAGCGGUGAAAUGCGUAGAUAUUGGGAGGAACACCAGUGGCGAAGGCGGCUCGCUGGACCGGUUCUGACGCUGAGGCGCGAAAGCGUGGGGAGCAAACGGG
rnacentral:rRNA from 1 species